rnacentral:lncRNA from 1 species
AUGGAAGGCCCGAACGGGCUGAGACAUGAGGAAAUUCUGCCCCUGGGAAGCAGACAUGUGUUUCUUUAUUAUUAUGUCUGAUUGCAAAAGUAGAACAUCUGGAAAAUACAGACAAAGGUAAAGGGAAAAAAAUCACCAUAACCACCAAGGAUCUUGAACAAACUGAAUAGGCGUGAUGAGAGCACUCCCCAUCUUGGAGGAACGCUGUCCGUCUUUGAUCAUUGAGUAUGCACAGCGGUGGGUUUUCACAGAUCUGCUUUAUCAGGUUCAGGAAGUUCCCUUCUAUUUUUAUUUCACUCUGCCCAUCCCUGAUGUCUGCUUUCUGCUUGCACUGGCUUCUCUCAAGGUGGCAAAGUAACUGCAGCGCUGUCAGAUCUGCAUCUCGACCCCACACUGCUCAAGAGGAUCAGGUGGGAUUAGACCCAAAGUCACCAGCCCUCGCUGAUCCGUGGGCAGAGGGAACUGUGUUCUGACUGGCUGAGGCCCGGACUGCCAGACCAAUCACCUGGAGGGGCGGCAGCACUGAUCCAGUUGGCCUCUGGGGCACUGGGGGCAGGCCCCUGUGCGGUGGCUGAUGCGGUGGCGAGGCGGGGGGGCGGCCAUGGCUGAUGGGGGACACCCCAGUAGGCGGGAAGCGGGAAUGCAGUAAUUACGAGCAUGGCGUCAGAGCCAGCCUGCCAGGGUCUGAAUCCUGGCUGUGCCACUUAAGAGCUAUGUGGUCUUAAUCACUCCUCAGCCUCUUCGUGCCUCAGUUUCCUCAUCUGUAUGGUGGGGAUGGGAAUACUGGUGUACCUACCUCAUGGGCAGCUGUGGGGAUUAAUGAGUUAACUCGCGUAAAUGAGUAAGUGCUAUGGUCUCCCCCUACCUCCGCUUUCAGAUCAAAAACAGAGGCUGAAAGUUGACGCCACACACCCCAAGUCAGCAAACACUCAUUAAGCACCCACUGUAUGCCGGGUGUGGCGCUAGGUCUGCA